UACAGAGGUCCCAAGCGUUGUUCGGAUUCACUGGGCGUAAAGGGUGCGUAGGUGGUGGGGUAAGUUCGAUGUGAAAGCUCCGGGCUUAACCCGGAAAUGGCAUUGAAUACUAUCUCGCUUGAGGGUUGGAGGGGAGACUGGAAUUCUUGGUGUAGCAGUGAAAUGCGUAGAUAUCAAGAGGAACACCAGUGGCGAAGGCGAGUCUCUGGACAACUCCUGACACUGAGGCACGAAAGCUAGGGGAGCAAACAGG
rnacentral:rRNA from 1 species